UACGUCACAGCCUUGUUUUCAGGAAAAUGACUGCGUGAAGGAAGCGUGCCGUACGUACCCCAAUUUAUGUAUGCCAGCAAAUUUUAAAUUAAACAUCUCACUGUGUUUAAGAGAUACAAAACAACAAACCCCAACCUUUUAAAAAAUAAGUUUGGUUCUGAAGAACAACGAAAACCACGGUGUGUUAAACGACAACAUGGGUUCUGCCAAAUACUGUAGUACCACUGUUUACCAGCAGAUGUCAUGCUUAUUCACAAAACUGCAUUCUAAUGACAUCAUCAUUCAGGGCUGCACACUCUGGCCAGUCUCUCAUCCAGCUUCAUGAGCAAUGGCAUACAAGAACCAAUUUUGGGUCUCCAAAGAACCAAGUCAAUGAAUUUUAAAGAACAAUUUCUCUCUUACCUUUUCAUAGUCUAAAGAACGUUUUCACUGUUAGAAAACAAAUGGUCAAAAAUGUAGACUACCCCAGCUGUCACUGUGCCAGUACCCUUAGGGGGCAUGCACACCAAAGUUUUUUUUACGCGGCUGGCAGCUUUAUUUCAGCCGACUGCCAGCUUUCUUCAGCUGAGCACUUUGUAUAUCAGUCAUUGUACGAUGCCCGGGUUGCUUGAUGUGAUAAUUGUCCCGCCCCUCCUCCACUGUGAUUGGACGGCCGUGUGAGAACUGACAAUUGACAAGCUGAGCUUCGCACCCAAAGUUGAAUAUUUAGAAAAAAUAAAGCAGCUAGCGUAGAAAAUGUAAAAAAAAAUGUUUUUAAAUGCUGCGCUUCCACUGGAAACAAUUGAAAACAUACGCCGGCCGCGAGCGUAAAAGCUUUUGUGUGCACGCCCCCUUAACAAAGAUCCUAAUAUGUAAGUACAGAUAUGUAUACAUUUGAAAUACAGCCCCAGUGACAGCUGCACUCUCAGAAAAAAAUGGUCAAAAUAUGUACCCCAUAGCUGUCACUGUGCCAGUACCCUUAACAAAGGUCCUAAUAUGUAAGUACAGAUAUGUUUACAUUUGGGAUACUACUACAGCUGCAGUGACAGCUGCACUGUCAGAAUUUUUUUUUAAAUAUGUACCCCAGCUGUCACUGGGGGGUGGUACGUUUUUAAAAAGUACAGAUUUAUACCUAAAGAGUUCAUAGGAGCACCUCAGAGGUGCAUAUUGGUACCAAACAGUGCAUAUUACCUCAAAGGUUCAUAUUAAUAUAUCAAAGGUGUGUAUUGGUACCAAAUGUAUACAUAUAUGUACCUAAUGGUAUUAGGACCUUUUUUAAAGGGUAUACCCAGUGACAGCUGGGGUACAUAUUUUGACCUUUUUUCUGACAAUGUGGGGUAAAUAUUCUGAUUUUUUUUUUUGACAGAAAGCAUCUGGAUGUUUAUGGAACCAUGCAACCUUACAAGGAACCUUUAAGGAACCUUUAUUUUUAAAAGUACAGUAGCUUAUUAAACUGAAUACCUGUUUCACUCCUUGUUUGAUUUCUUUAAUUUAUUGAUCUGCUUAUGUUUUGCAAAUGUUCCAGUCACAUGUAAUAAUUUACGGAUAUAAUCAUAUUGCAUAUUGCAUAGUCUUGCAUUUCAAUAUAGGAUUUGUAAUUAAAUUAGUAAUGAUUGGGUUUUCUCUCUCUUGUGAACAUAUUCACUUUCCAUACCCAUGAUUCACCUGCAUGCAAUUUCCGUUACAAUGUGUUAUUAGCGAAGCAGAAUCACUCUGGAGAAGAAAUAAUUAUAGAGCUCUUUAAAUCAGUCCGAGGAUUGAAUGUCACAAGAAUGUUAAUGACACAAUGAAUCUGUGCGUGGUCACCAGACUGCAUUUUACCUUAGUUUGACAUGAGCACACUCCCAAAUAAAUGUUAAAAAAUGAUCCCUACCUGUCACUGUGGCAGUACCCUUUUAAAAAGUACACAUUUGCACCUUAACAGUGAAUAUUAGUACCUCAAAAGUUUAUUGUAUAUUGGUAAUGCACACACACAUUUACCUAAAUGGUAUUAAGACCUUUUCAAAGGGCACUGCCCCAGUGACAGCUUUUGUCAACACAGCUUUGUAGACUAUUGUUGACUCCUGACAAAAUGUUAAAUGUUCUCUCAUUUGUCACUUUGUAUAACAAAAUCUGCUAAAUAAAUAAAUGUAAAUGAUAAAAAAUCUAGUCCCUUACAUGUAUUUGAUAGAUUGGUUAGAGACCUUCACCUCUAAUCUUAUGAUUUAGCACUGCCAGUAAACCUUAAGCUUUUCGAUAUUAAUUAUCCUUUAUUUGUUAAUAAUGCGACUCUGGUUUCUUGAUGUCUGUUAAGCUUUUAUCCUCGGCCCAUCAGGACAGGUUUGUCA